CUCCUAUCCACUUAGCAGAAAGAACUUUACAACAACAUUAAUUAUUUUGUAUUUAUUACAAUUAUAUUUCUUUAUAAAAGACUUUAACAUUAAAACAAACUAUUUCAAUGUAAGUGUGAAUCAUCUCAUCUCAUCAACCAUCUUGAUUCAACUCAUCACACAAAGACCCAAUCAUGAGAAGAUAACAUCGAAGUAUUGAGUAAUUACGUGUGAGUGUACGAAUUAAAAACAGAGAAUAUGUAAUGGUUGUCAUAGAUUUAUAAGGAUCCAAGUAGAUUAUGCAUCUGCAUUGGGAGCGAAGCUCCAAUACAGCCGGGGAUUGUCAUAUUCGAUCAUUAUCAUGGAUGGGAAGAGUACCUGAUGAAAUUCCACAGGACGAAGGAUGGAAACUCAAUCGGAAUCAUUAUUAUCAAGAAGGAUGGCUCAGCACUGCCAAUCUGAGAGGAGUUGUGGGGGUUACGUAUACAAAGUCGCAUUGUGGAGAAGGAUCUCAUGAGCCACCAGUUAGAACGAAUUAUAACCUGCGUGGGCAUAGAGCAG
rnacentral:lncRNA from 1 species